rnacentral:rRNA from 1 species
AACGAACGCUGGCGGCAGGCUUAACACAUGCAAGUCGAACGCCCCGCAAGGGGAGUGGCAGACGGGUGAGUAACGCGUGGGAACAUACCCUUUCCUGCGGAAUAGCUCCGGGAAACUGGAAUUAAUACCGCAUACGCCCUACGGGGGAAAGAUUUAUCGGGGAAGGAUUGGCCCGCGUUGGAUUAGCUAGUUGGUGGGGUAAAGGCCUACCAAGGCGACGAUCCAUAGCUGGUCUGAGAGGAUGAUCAGCCACAUUGGGACUGAGACACGGCCCAAACUCCUACGGGAGGCAGCAGUGGGGAAUAUUGGACAAUGGGCGCAAGCCUGAUCCAGCCAUGCCGCGUGAGUGAUGAAGGCCUUAGGGUUGUAAAGCUCUUUCACCGAUGAAGAUAAUAACGGUAGUCGGAGAAGAAGCCCCGGCUAACUUCGUG